rnacentral:rRNA from 1 species
GUCGUGAGAUGUUGGGUUAAGUCCCGCAACGAGCGCAACCCCUACCGCCAGUUUGCCAUCAUUCAGUUGGGCACUCUGGUGGAACUUGCCGGUGACAUGCCGGAGAAAGGCGGGGAUUGACGUCAAGUUCCUCAUGGCCCUUUAUUGGGUGGGGGCUACCACACGUGCUACAAUUGGCGGUGACAGUGGGAACGCGAAGUUCGCAAGAUUGGAGCCAAUUCCCCAAAAGCC